GAUGAACGCUGGCGGCGUGCUUAACACAUGCAAGUCGAACGGAAAGGCCCAAGCUUGCUUGGGUACUCGAGUGGCGAACGGGUGAGUAACACGUGGGUGAUCUGCCCUGCACUUCGGGAUAAGCCUGGGAAACUGGGUCUAAUACCGGAUAGGACCACAUUUUGGAUGGUGUGGUGGAAAGUUUUUCGGUGUGGGAUGAGCUCGCGGCCUAUCAGCUUGUUGGUGGGGUAAUGGCCUACCAAGGCGUCGACGGGUAGCCGGCCUGAGAGGGUGUACGGCCACAUUGGGACUGAGAUACGGCCCAGACUCCUACGGGAGGCAGCAGUGGGGAAGAUUGCACAAUGGGCGCAAGCCGGAUGCAGCGACGCCGCGUGGGGGAUGACGGCCUUCGGGUUGUAAACUCCUUUCGCUAGGGACGAAGCGUUAUGUGACGGUACCUGGAGAAGAAGCACCGGCUAACUACGUG
rnacentral:rRNA from 1 species